rnacentral:rRNA from 1 species
CCUACGGGUGGCAGCAGUGAGGAAUAUUGGUCAAUGGACGAGAGUCUGAACCAGCCAAGUAGCGUGAAGGAUGACUGCCCUAUGGGUUGUAAACUUCUUUUAUAUGGGAAUAAAAUGUUCCACGUGUGGGAUUUUGUAUGUACCAUAUGAAUAAGGAUCGGCUAACUCCGUGCCAGCAGCCGCGGUAAUACGGAGGAUCCGAGCGUUAUCCGGAUUUAUUGGGUUUAAGGGGAGCGUAGGUGGAUUGUUAAGUCAGUUGUGAAAGUUUGCGGCUCAACCGUAAAAUUGCAGUUGAAACUGGCAGUCUUGAGUACAGUAGAGGUGGGCGGAAUUCGUGGUGUAGCGGUGAAAUGCUUAGAUAUCACGAAGAACUCCGAUUGCGAAGGCAGUUCACUGGACUGCAACUGACACUGAGGCUGGAAAGUGUGGGUAUCAAACAGGAUUAGAUACCCCUGUAGAC